AAUUUCUCAAUAGCACAGCUGCAAGUUGCACCAUUUCCUGGAAUUUGUCCUGGCGAAUCGGACUGUCACUUAGUCACGCGAUUGAGUAAAAGUUCCUUACUUGCAAGUAAAGAACUAUCACUCCAAGAGGGCACAGAACGCACGCAGACGAACCUAUUGAAAAUGGGAAACUUGCACAUCCCCAAAGACUUACCAUCAAUUUUCAGGAUAAUCGAUGACAGCAGGGCUGCAAUUGUGGAUUCUCUCAAGGAACUGGUCUCCAUUCCAAGCGUGUCGGCGCAGACGAAACAUCAAACGGCCGUUCAACGCUGCAUCGAGUGGACUAAAAAGGC